CACAACAAACAAGGCAAACAUUACAAAAAAAUAAGGAUCUUACCGUAGGCUACCAAAAUACAAGUGUGUGUAGUUCAAGGACCUCCAGGUAAAAGUUUCUUCCCCUUCCCAAAGUCUUUGACUGUGUUGUUUGCUAAAGUUUCUUGCUGUUUCCACUGGUAAAAACUAAUCGAACAAGGACACGACCGGAACUGCUCUCAAAUUUAGGAAGGGAGGGGUAGGAUUGAAUAAGCAGUGAUAAAACUAUAUGAUAAUACACGUUGCGCCACUCCGUGAAGAAGACGCAGCUACAGUAUGUCGGGCACACCCAUCCGGAGGCAGGUGAGAAGGCUCCAGAAAGGACUGCUUCUCCCAAACCUCUGAGGCAGCAGUGCUUCUCGGACAUCACGGCACUCGGCACACGUGUCCCAAGAACGGCCAAACCUCUGGGGCAUGUUGGGGGACGAGUUUGGGGCCCUUUCAUCACCAGGCAAAUUCUCCCUCCCGAAACGCAUGGGCAUGUUGGCGUGCAGGUGGAGAGGUUUGGCCGUGGGCGGGUGGAGCUUGAUGAUGAUCGGAAGGCUGAUUCUGCUGCUGGUCGGGCGUAAGCGCACUUUGUAGGUCUCCUGAUCCAAACUCCUGCGAAUGUCACUUUUUGUCUGGAAACCAAAAACAUGUUGAAGUCCGAAUCAGUCUGAUUAAAGGAUAUUUUCAUGAA